rnacentral:lncRNA from 1 species
GAAGAUCGCCCUGCGGCCGCGAAGGCCUCAGCGAAAGCUUGGAGGUAGGGUCGGCGCAGCCACGGCUUCUGCUUUCGGCUCCAGCCAAGGUCAGGCCACUCGGGGCUCCGCGCCCUGAACUUCCGGUGUGAGGAGCGAGCGUGGUGCUGCGGGCAGAGCCGGGGCUGCUGGAGGACCCCGCCGCCGCUGAGAGGGAACGGGGGCCGCUUCCGGCCGGAGGCGCCCAGGUCAGACCUCUCAGCCGCUCUGCAGGGGCGCCUGAGCCUUCCAGGCGCAGGUCUCACACCCACCCUGUGAGGAGUGUCCUUCACAGUCUCACACCCGUGCCAAAUUUGCGCGGCCACGUUCUUUGGCUUCUUAUUUCAAAACGACUGUUUCAACCGCUUACCUUAUGCUAUGCACAUUUUUAGCUAUUAAAUAUAUGAAUUCACUUAGUACUCAAUAACUCCGUUACAGGGAGUUUCCUUUUUUUUUCCCUCAGGUGAGGGAACUGCCUCCCAAAGGGUGAAGCAAGUGCCCAGAUCUUAGUUAUGGCCAGGUCACGUUGAAAGCCAGGCCAGCUUGUGUUCCUAGACAAAACGCCAAAUGUCACUCACCUAUCCUCCCCAUGCAGAUGCUGAGCGUCAAUUUUACCUAGAGUAGCUUUUGUUAUUCACUAUAUGCUAAGUUCCUCUAACUGAUAAUCAGGAAAAUGAGGAGGCUUGAUUAAAACCUACCACUCUUUCCUGGUUUAUAAUGUCAUCGAAAGCUUGGUCCUUGUCCCUGAUGCCAAUACAAUAAUGAGGACGCGGUUGGGUUGUUGUUGAUUUUAUACACACACACACACACACACACACAUAUAUUUGUUUAUUUUUAGUUGUAGAUAGACACAAUACCUUUGUUUUGUUUUUAUGUGGUGCUGAGGAUCAAAUCCUGUGCCUCACGCGAGGUAAGCGCUUCACCACUGAGCUAC